GGACCAAACCUCAAGUAUUCAAGAAAAUAACCUAUAUGUGAUCUAAGCAAAGGAAAUCAUUACCAUCUCCAAACUACCACAUGUAGGGCAGGCAUGGAAUAAGCCUGGUCUGCUGGAGACAUUCCUAAUCAAACCUGAAGGUGCUCACCUAAUAGUCAUGGAGCUGUUGUGGGGCACUGCCAGAUCUCAGGGUGCAGGCAAACCCCUUUCUCAACAGGGUCAUCUGAUCUGUUUUCUACUCUGCAGUAAUUAUUUCAUGUCACUCAUUACAAGUGAACAAAUCAAUUCAGUUUAUAAGCUCUGACUCUUCCUACCUGCAUACUCACUCCAGUGGACUGUUUCCAGCUUGUGUUCUUCUCUGAGCCACUGACAGGACAUGGCUUCACUGGAUGGCAUGAAGAGAAAGAUAUUUUUUCUUUACUUGCAAAACAAUUGAACGCUAAACCUACUCGAAUGAGAAACAUGAUUAUUCCUCUAUGUGACUUCUUUAUUUGAGCUCUUUUGUUUGCACAGUCUCUCUUCCUCACAUAUUUUGCACACUGCCGGUUUAAAACUUUACGUAUCUGUAACUCUACUGCUCAUGCUGAGCGCAUCUGCAAUGUGUUGAUUAGGAGCCACCUGGAAGAUGUGGUAGUCAUCACAAACACCUUUGCUUUUCAUUCACAUCAGUUACAAGCCAGGUCUUUAGUAUCCCUUCCUCACCCUUCAACUCUUAGAAUACAAAAGAUUCCCUGUAUCUUGUACCUCUAGAAGAUACGGGGAAUCUUGUAAAUGUGUAGGAUGUAUCCUACAGGAAACUGGUAGAGAUGCUUCUCUUUAUGUGGUUUAAGUCUUUGUCACUGCAAAUAAAAUUUCUUUUUGUAAGUACUGAGAUGGAUUUUACUGGUUUGCACAGCUUGGCCACCUGGGAAAUUGCAGCGACAACAAGGAUGGAAGGUGCAUGCUGCUGCACAUAGAUUUGUAUAUGUUGUACCUACAUAUACACAUAUGUGUCAGCCCCUGACAGGGGAAAUGUUCACCACAUCUGAACAUCGCACGUCCCAUGACAAAAGCUGAAUGUGCCCGAUUCCUCCCAGCAGAGGUCAGUGGUAACCUAGUUCCCAAAAUUGCUUGGCGUGUCCAAUCAAGCAUGUACACACAAAACUGCCUCGGAUAAAGGUGCCCUGCAGAAGGGUGGCUCAGGCAAAGUUGUACACCCAGUGCUGGGAAAUUUCAUAUCUAUUUCUCAGUAUAGGGCCACAAGCAUUUCGCAUAUGCAAUACUGCCUUAGCUUUUUCCUGAGAUGUGCACUGAACUUUUCAUUAUAGUAAAUAACACUUAUGGCUCACAGCAGCUUCCUUUUCUCAUUGGUUCUUUCCCCCCACUUUAGAUCAUGGUGUUAGUAUCACUUUGGCCAUUGUGGCCAAUUUAACACAAAGUUAAGAAUUCCCACAACAGUUUUAGUUGCUAUUGAGAGUGCAUAAUGUAUUAAAAAGCUUUCAUUUAAUGUUUUCUUUCCUCUCCCACUGAAGAUGAGAACUAUGUAAAGUACUCUUUCUUUUUCAUUGUUUUUUCCCCCACCUUUAUGCCUGAACCCUCCUCCAAGACUCACGCUGCCAAUAUAACGUAUG